rnacentral:lncRNA from 10 species
CACCGCACCCGGCCUGUUCAUUCUUUUAAGGCCUUCAUUUUAUUCCUGUUGGUUUCACUCACAACUGAUAAAAAAGGGAGAUAUGCUUCCUGAGAGAAAGGACCACGCUUCUCCUGUUUACCAUGCUGUCUCCCACUCUAGCACAUCCUUCAGCGAUGCUGACCGGUGGAAACCAGAGCAGUACCUCGUGUAUACUACGCUAUCGUAAGCUAUUAUAAGCAUUGUUCUUUUUCUUCUCCCACCCAGAAACCUGAAGGUUUUCUUUUCCUUACUCUGUUCCUCUGUGAGUUUUGAGAAUUUCUGUACCUCUCUUAUGAUACACGAUAU